AUUGAACGCUGGCGGCGUGCCUAACACAUGCAAGUCGCACGCGAAAGGGAGCAAUCCCGAGUAGAGUGGCGGACGGGUGAGUAACGCGUAGGAAUCUACCUAGUAGUGGGGGACAACCCGGCGAAAGCCGGGCUAAUACCGCAUACAACCUAAGGGUAAAAGCCGGGGAUCGCAAGACCUGGCGCUAUUAGAUGAGCCUGCGUCCGAUUAGCUAGUUGGUGAGGUAACGGCUCACCAAGGCAACGAUCGGUAACUGGUUUGAGAGAACGACCAGUCACACUGGGGACUGAGACACGGCCCAGACUCCUACGGGAGGCAGCAGUGGGGGAAUCUUGGACAAUGGGGGCAACCCUGAUCCAGCGACGCCGCGUGUGUGAAGAAGGCC
rnacentral:rRNA from 1 species